UACGUAGGGAGCAAGCGUUGUCCGGAAUCAUUGGGCGUAAAGCGCGCGUAGGUGGCCAUGUAAGUCCGCUGUGAAAGUCAAAGGCUCAACCUUUGAAAGCCGGUGGAUACUGUGGGGCUAGAGUCCGGAAGAGGCGAGUGGAAUUCCUGGUGUAGCGGUGGAAUGCGCAGAUAUCAGGAGGAACACCAAUAGCGAAGGCAGCUCGCUGGGACGUUACUGACACUGAGGCGCGAAAGCGUGGGGAGCGAACAGG
rnacentral:rRNA from 1 species